rnacentral:tRNA from 1 species
GCCUGGGUGGCUCAGCGGUUGAGCGUCUGCCUUCGGCUCAGGUCAUGAUCCCAGAUCUUGGGAUCGAGUCCCACAUCGGGCU